CCUACGGGAGGCAGCAGUAGGGAAUCUUUCACAAUGGGCGAAAGCCUGAUGGAGCAACGCCGCGUGCAGGAUGAAGGCCUUCGGGUUGUAAACUGCUUUGAUAAGCGAGAAAUAGGAUGGUAACUUAUGAAUGAGGAUCGGCUAACUACGUGCCAGCAGCCGCGGUCAUACGUAGGAUCCGAGCAUUAUCCGGAGUUACUGAGUGUAAAGAGUUGGGUAGGUGGCAUAAUAAGUAGCUAGGGAAAUCUGGUGGCUCAACCAUUCAGACUAUUAGCGAAACUGUUAAGCUCGAGAGCGUUAGGGGUAACUGGAAUGUCUAGUGUAGGGGUGAAAUGCGUAGAUAUCA
rnacentral:rRNA from 1 species